rnacentral:lncRNA from 1 species
CCAGGGACUACACAGUUUCUAUGUACCAAGAUGCAUGAUACAAAUUUACUGGUGAGGUUGAAAUAUCCCUCCAACCGGCUUGGCUCUUCCUCAAGGCAAGCUUUACAGGUCAUAAUCCAAAGAUAGGAUGCAGAGGACUGGAAGAAACUAAUGCAGGACAUAUAUCUAAGGGUUAGAUUCUAUUGCAAGUGGUUUUGGAGAAUUAGACCUCGGACCGAGUAUGUUAUAUUGCAUAAGUUUAUUAAUCUUAUGAUCAAUGAAGUUAUUCCAGAGAGAUUGUAACCGAAAAAAAAAAGUUAUUCCAGAAGGAUGCUAAUGAAAAUCACUCACAGGUAAUCACUAAUACCUUUUCUAAAAUGUAAUAAAUGAAAUUAAAAAAACCGCAACAAAUAAAAACUCACAAGGACUUGCUUAAAAAGUUCUCCUCGCAACAGUUUGUCCAUAUGAAAUUCAAAUUUCAGAUCGAGAUCUUUCAAUGUGGUAUUCUCAUCAAUUUUAUCUUUGUCUGUACAUCUUCCAAUAGUUGAACCCUUCAAAUCAUAACGGCGAUGAAUUCGUAAUUCAGUGCAAAACAUAUUCCCCAUGACCAUAAACCGUUCCUAAAAACAAUGCAUUUAGAAUAAGUCACACCAACCGAGGCGACAUCCAAUGAAGAACUGCAAUCUGGUAGAGUGAUAAGUUGCUCAAUACCUUUUUUCCACCUUUUAACGUUAUCCAAUGGAGCCCAAAUUUUUUUGUGAUGAGAGUGUUUUCAUGUUCGUCUACAUGGCUAUAAUAUCUAGGCAGCAUCUUCAGCAUAACCUGCAUAUGAAUUGGGAAAAAGAAAAUGAUUCAUAAUUCCUUAACAUCCUUCCCAAACUUGGAUGAGAUAAGUUAGUUGCCGAAGAUAAAGCUAAAAAUAAAAUUGAGAAAAGCAAAAUCUAAGUCCUCAUAUGGAGCUGAUUGAUCAUUCUGUUCGAGUAAGAAGCAAAAGGAAUAUAAAGGGUCAUUCAACGGCUUGGCACGACAGGAAUUUUGAGUACAAAGAAGUUAUCGUGUGUGUGUAUGUAGCGUAGAAGUUUGCAUGAGUUCAAUCAAACCUUCAGUUCAGUUUUUCUUAAAGUCUUGAUGAAAAAUCUAUCAUCAUGAGAAAUAUAGAAAAUACUGCCACUUUUCCCCGGUGAAGAAAUCUCUCGUAAACCAUUGUCACCACAAACGGACAUCAUGUACUCUGCAUCUAAUUUAAACAUCUCCCUUAAAUUCCUGAAACGCGAAAGUUUCAUCAGGCAGAAAGAGAUCCAAUUGCUUAUUUGGGCAGAUACAGCAGAAACAUAAACUUGCGACCAUACAAUGUCCAUAUGGUUAAGACAUGUAUGAUUCCAAUUAAACUUGAACACAUUUGAAUAUGACUCCAAUUAAACAAGAAAUUAGGUCAAAACAUAAAUGAAUCAGAUUUACAGAUUUAACAGAAACAUAGUCAUUUUUAAAGUUCUAUAUUUGCAGAUUCUCCACAAAUAUCACAAUUACGGAGGCCAACCAUGUAAAUUGCAUGCACGACAAGCACAUUACCAAAAGGAAAUAAGUCAAUUAGGCCUUCUAGUGAUAGAGCUAUUAUCUGCUAGUCUAUUUUUAGUGCUUCCAAAUGCUUGAGCUUAGCUAUUAGGACAUGGACCAAUAAUAGUUUAAUUUCAAAGAAGUAACCCGCAUGUGGGAACCCAAACUCCCCCUCCAUAGGUAACAUCUUCAAUUGUUCGUUACUAUUAUUCCCAAAUGCUUAACCUAUUAGAGCUUGAACCAAGUAAAAGAGUCCAUGAAUUUCCAUAUUGUGUACCAAGUUGGUAAAAAUUGAGCUCAAAAGAAGUUGAUUCCUCCACUCUCAAUAUGGUUUAUCGUCUGCAAAUGCAAUAAAAGAAUCAUAAACUUAGCAACACCGCCAAUUUUUGCAUAGCAAAAGAAGCAGAUAUACGUUCUAAGCAAAAAAAUUUCGCCCCUCAUAACUCACCAAAAAGCAAACAAAAUUUCAAACAAAAUGGCUAGCACAAUCUAAAAUAGGAGCAAAAAAAAACACUAAAAAAAAGCUAAAUUUAUUACAAGAAAAUAACUCACCAUAGUGCUUCCGUAGUACUUCUGGCACCACACAGUAAGGGCUCCCAACAACAUCAGUGAAUGUUUCUCCUGGGAAGAAUACGAGUUUUUGUUAUAAUGAUAUUGAAAUGUGAAAAAAAAAAAAAACGCGAAAUCACUUUCUUGUAGCGAAAAAUUACGAAUCAACGACAUAAUGAACAAAUAAAUUAAAGUAACUGAACCAUUAAGAAAUUAACAACACAGACGUCUACAUUUAUCAGUAUCCCAUCAAUAUAUGCACCAAAUUUUAGCGAAUGCCGGUGAUGUUUUACAUUUAUUGUUCUUACCGGUGAUUACUGGAUUACGUAAAUGGUGCAGUGAAGACAUCAGUGAAUUAUGCAAAUGGUGCAGUGAAGACAUUCACAAACUGAAAACAACAAAUGGUGAAGUGAAGACGGUGAAUCAACGCAGUCACAGAUUAACAAAUUGAAAACAACAAAUAAAACCACAGAAAAAGAAAACAGCCAACUCACCUUGGAACAAAGAACAUACGGACAGAAGAAGACUCAAAAUGAGAGAAAUGAAACAAAUAAAUAGACCUUCGAAAUCUCCUAAUUCAUUUAAAAAACAAACCAAAGAAUAAUGUUAUAUGGGUGAUAUCAAACACAAGCAAACGUAUACCAGAAAAUUACUCCAGGCUUUGCCUGAUAUCAAACAAAAGCAAACUACUGUGAACUUUUAACUUCAAAACCAAUCAUCAAUGAUAGAUACUAAUAUCUCAACUUUCGAAAAAAAUUACUUACUUUGCCAAACCCAAACCUGCCUCACAUUCGAAAGAAAUGCACAUUUUAAAUUAUCAAUCAUGAUUCAGUGCAUGAGUUUGUUCUCAUAUUUUCCCCUUUAAUCUAACAACAUAUAUGAAAUUGAAGAGAGAGGAUGAGAAAUUUUUACCUCUGGGCGUGUCGACUCCAAGAUUGGAGGUUUGGCCUUUGGAUCCGCUCGUGUGGAGCCUGAAUCUCGCGAGAUCUGGGUUCAGGUUUUCUGAGACGGUGGUGUAGGCAACGGUCUUGGGGCUCUCAUCUCUGAUUUCUGAGCAUGGAUUUGCUCACAUGGGGAUGAUGACGCCAAAACGAACCUCAAAGCUGUCACAGUCGCAGUCAUAGAUUGCAAAACCACGCCUCUUCUUUACUUGGUCUUCUUAAUCCUCUCCUUAAUUUCACUGCAAAAUUCACACACAGAUAUAAAUGACCAACCAGGGUCCUUGUGGAACAAAACCCGAAACUGAAUUUCUCAUCCUAAUCAAUUGAUUCAAUUUUUAACAAAUACACAUAAAUAUUAAAGAGCAACAUGCCAUGUUGAACAAAACAAAUGAUUGAUCAACUUAAAGAGUGUCUGGGAAUGCUUCGGUAAGGCUAAAAGUGUUUCUAGAUACCAAAAUUUGAGCAGAAAUAGCUAAAAGUGCUAUUGAAUAGAAUUAAAUUGCAGUAUCAAUAGACUUCAAUAUUAACCGCUUACCCUCAAAAGACACGACAACAAUGAAUAGAAUUAAAUUGUAAGUGAACUAAUAUUUUGUACAACAAAUAUAUACGGGAUAUACAUUGCACAGAUAUACAUGUUGCAUAAAGUCUCACAUGUUUCUGAAAUGAAAACGCUACAAAACGAAGAUAUACGGCCAAUUAAUUCUUCAACCGCUAAUGGAUCACGGGAUAUUCUUAGCUGCCUUUGUAGUUCUUGUUUGUCAAAUUCGAACACAACUCAGGAAAAAUAAAUAUAAACACAAAGAGAGAAGAAGAUAUAAGACAAUUACCUCUCUUUUGGCAGGAAGCUCAUCCCAAACAUAAAUUCUGAUAUCUUCCUAAGCCUGUAUUAUGCAGGUCGUGUACUCAGUGAAUAUGCUUUCGAAAAAAGAUCAACAAGCGUGCAUUAUUUCCUAAAUUCCUAUGAAUUUGACAUGCUAAUUUACUGAAAGGAUUUGGCAAAAAAGACUAUGGGAUUAUAGAGACCUCAAAAAUGAAUGAUGCACAUACAGAUCUAAAUAUGGGUAAAAUACCAGCUGAAUUUAAUAAGAAAGAAUUCAGACCACAACACUAUAGUUGAUGAUUAAAUCAACAGCGUAAUGUUUUGUUGAGAUUCUGUUUCAGCAUGCACUAGGAAUAAUCUCAAUGGCCUUUCCUCUUCUACAGGUCAUGAAGAUUUCGGAAUCCGGAUAUUGGGUUCAUUUGGUUUCUGCAAAAUAUGAAUUCACAAGCUCAAAAUCACAAAAAUUUCCCUAAAAUUCUUCAAAUUAUUAUUUUAUUUUAUUUUAUUCGAAAAAUAGAGAACUAACAGACCAUCUUCUUCCUUGAUGAAACACUUGAGAAAGAAAGCGAAGCAGCUUUGAAUCUCAGCUGCUGAAUACUCUGAUCUUCCUCCCCAACUCCUCCAUAACUCCCAGAAGAGAAAUUUUCAUGCGACCCCUUUCCAGCAGCUGCAAAAAAGAUAUCAAAUUUAAAAACGAAUUCCAAAAACAAAGCAAGAGAGUGCAUUUGGACGUUGGUUUGGGUGCAGACAGAGGCGGUGGAGGGACGGUGGGUCGGUGGACCGGUGGUGUAGGGGGUGAAGAUAGCGAUGGAUGGUGAUGGGUUUGGGUGGGCUGCCCAUUUGAGGGUUUGGGUUAGUUUGGUUGGGUUGCUGCCGGCUAAAGCUAGAGACUUGAGAGGGGAGGUGGGUGUAUUGAGAAAUAGGACAGAUCAGAUUGGGGAAAUUAGGGUUUUGCUGGAGAAGAAGAGGGAGGGAAGAGAGAGACCCGCGUAAAUUGGGUUGAGAAGGGAAGCUGCCAUUUCGUGAGGAAUGAGAGAUACAAUCCCCCAAAUCAUGCACCCACUCUCUGCGACCAAACCCCCCUCUCCUCUCUCCCCAAAAUCCCAAAAUCACGCCCCCAUAUAACUGCAUCCAACCCCCUCUCCUCUCUCCCCCAAAUCACGAGAUCAGAUCUUCUGCACCCAACCCCCUCUCCUCUCUCCCCCAAAAUCACGCCCCCACCCUUAGACCCCAAAAACAACAGCCCAACCGGCUGUUUUGGGGACAGACAAUGGCAGAAACGUAAUUAAAUCAAAAUCGAGUUUAUUGAGUUGAUUGUAGAUGAUAUUUUUAAGAAAUUGCUCAACAUCUCAUCAAGUGAAAAGAAUGGCUUGGUUGGAAUAGAUUCCUGCUUACAGAAAAUGGAUUCACUGUUAUGUCGCGGGGUGAAUGAUGUUCGCUUUGUUGAAAAUGCAAACUCAGUUUCACUUGGCUAGAAAGACUUCAUUUACACAAAUUCAGAGGGCUCAUCCACUGUAAUUUGCAGAUUUAUAAAUGUUAAGAUAAAAGGAAAUGCAAACUACCUUUCACCCAAAUUUGCAAUGGGAAAUGACAUAGCAAUAUCUUCACAGUUUCUGCACAAGCACAAAUCAAAAUAUAAGAAUAGCUCACAUAAGCAAUUGAAACCCGCCAAACACGAACGAAAAGAUCGGCAACAAAUGUAUUCCACAUGUAGAGAUAUUCUGUUCGAAUUUUGAUUACCUAGAAAUUGGGGGGUUGGGGCGGAGAGGAACCCUAGCCAAGGCGGAGCUCUGUAGUGGAUGCCGAUGAUGUUUAGGAGAGUAAUAUACGUGUCAAAUUCAGCACGCCCCUUCCAAUAUCUACUUGAUAAUCCCACAAGCGUGCUAAAUCCUCAUAGUCGACGGGAAAUUGAGAAAGAUUUGUGCACCCACUGAGAUUGGCAGCUAAAGGGCGCGCCAAAUUACAGAAAGUGUCGGGAAGAUGCACAAGGCUUUCGCAGUUUCCCAGAUUUAAUAACACAAGCUGCUGAAGCCGUUCAAUCGAGGGGGGAAGCUCUUUGAUAGAUGUUCCAUCCAAAUGAAGCGCUCUUAAUUCUUCCAUAUUUUCUUCAAUGUUUGGAAACACCUCAAAUUUUGUACAACCAGAAAGAGAGAGAUAAUAUAGGGAUUGAAGUUGACAAAUGCUACUUGGGAGAGUCUUGAGUUCUUUGCAAUCUUUUAGGAUCAAAAUUCUCAAUCCCGUGAGACAAUUAAUUGACGAGGGCAAUUCUUUAAUUUUUGAUCCGGAUAAAUCAAGCCCUAUUAGUUGAUCCAUAACUUCUAAAAUCUCUGGAAACAUCGCAAGACUCGAGCAGCCAUAAAGAUUAAGGGCUGCGAGAGAUCUCAUAUGAAUGAAGCUUGGAAGACUCUUGAGUUCCUUGCAAUCUUUCAGGUCCAAAUAUCUCAACCCUGUGAGAUUAUUAAUUGAUGAGGGCAAUUCUUUAAUUUUUGACCCGAAUAAAUUAAGCUUUUGUAGUUCCUCCAUAACUUCUAAAAUCUCAGGAAACAUUUCAAGACUCGAGCAGCCAGAAAGAUCAAGGGUUACGAGAGAUUUCAUACGAAUGCUUGGAAGGCUCUUGAGUUCCUUGCAAUUUGUUAGUUUCAAAUAUCUCAACCCCGUGAGAUUAUUAAUAGAUGAGGGCAAUUCUUCAAUUUUUAACCCGGAUAAAUUAAGCUCUGGUAGUUCUUCCAUAACUUCUAAAAUCUCUGGAAACAUCUCAAGACUCGAGCAACCAGAAAGAUCAAGGAUUUUGAGAGAUUUCAUACGAAUGCUUGGAAGGUUCUUGAGUUCCUUGCAAUUUGUUAGUUUCAAAUAUCUCAACCCCGUGAGAUUAUUAAUUGAUGAGGGCAAUUCUUUAAUUUUUGACUCGGAUAAAUUAAGCUCUGGUAGUUCCUCCAUAACUUCUAAAAUCUCUGGAAACAUCUCAAGACUCGAGCAGCCAGAAAGAUCAAGGGUUAUGAGAGAUCUCAUAUGAAUGAUGCUUGGAAGACUCUUGAGUUCCUUGCAAUCUUUUAGGUUCAAAUAUCUCAAUCCUGUGAGAUUAUUAAUUGACGAGGGUAGUUCUUUAAUUUUUGACCCAGAUAUAUCAAGCGUUUGUAGUUCCUCCAUAACUUCUAAAAUCUCUGGAAACAUCUCAAGACUCGAGCAGCCAGAAAGAUCAAGGGUUAUGAGAGAUCUCAUAUGAAUGAUGCUUGGAAGACUCUUGAGUUCCUUGCAAUCUUUUAGGUUCAAAUAUCUCAAUCCCGUGAGAUUAUUAAUUGACGAGGGUACUUCUUUAAUUUUUGACCCAGAUAUAUCAAGCGUUUGUAGUUCCUCCAUAAUUUCUAAAAUCUCUGGAAACAUCUCAAGACUCGAGCAGCCAGAAAGAUCAAGGAUUUUGAGAGAUUUCAUACGAAUGCUGCUUGAAAGACUCUUUAAGUUUGCUGGACCCAUGCAGAUCCAAUAAAACAAGGUUUGUAAGACUUGAGCAGCCAGAAAGAUCAAGGGUUACGAGAGAUUUCAUACGAAUGCUUGAAAGGCUUUUGAGUUCCUUGCAAUUUGUUAGUUUCAAAUCUCUCAACCCCGUGAGAUUAUUAAUUGACGAGGGCAGUUCUUUAAUUUUUGACCCGAAUAAAUUAAGCACUAGUAGUUCCUCCAUAACUUCUAAAAUCUCUGGAAACAGUUCAAGACUCGAGCAGCCAGAAAGAUCAAGGAUUUUGAGAUAUUUCAUACGAAUGCUGUUGGCUAGAAUCAUAAGUUCGUUGCAGCCCCUCAGAUCCAAUAAAACAAGGUUUGUAAGAGUCGAAAUAGAUGGGUGAACCUCAACCAAACUUAUACAACCUACAAAAAUUAGCCUCUCAAGAUUUGGCACCUUUGUGAAGUCAGGGGUUUCCUUAAGGUAUUCACAAUAGCUUAAAUUGAUGAAUUUCAACUUCCCCAGCGUCUGUUAAAACAUUCAUGAAAACAUGCAUUACUUAAGAAGACAUCUCAAUCAGAACCCAAACAUUUAAAAGAAACAUAUACAUGUAAAUGGUGAUUGUAGGUACCUGCGUUCCUUCCCAAAGUCGUUCAAUGCGACUAUAUUGCAUGUCAAGGUCAACAAGAUUUUUGAAUUGAAAGUUGGAUGGCAAAGAUUUAAGGGGGGAUCCAUGCCAGUAGAGACACCUCAACUCACGAGAAAGAAACUUUAAGCGCCCAAUCAGGUGUUGUUUGUCGUAAGAAUGACUUAUCCUGAGAAGUCUUAGUUGAUUCAUACUAUCAAAAGCUUCAGCAUUUAGGCAUACCUCAUCUGAGAUCGACAAAUCCAGGAUUAUGCUUUCAACUGCUUCUGUACCCUGUGCAAAUCAAAGUGAAGGAAAAACAGAGAGGUUUAGAUUAUGAAGUUAAUGCUUGUUUCUUAAGGAACCAUUUUAUAAUCAUUUCGUUUUCAAUUUUUAACUUUUGUUUUAAUUAUUUUGUUAUAGAAAUCUGAAAAUUAAAAGCACAUAACUUGUUUGAUAAUCAUUCUCAAACAAAAAUUAUUUUAUAAAAUGUUUGUUUCUUCUCAAAAAAAAAAAAAAAAUCAUUCUCAAUUUUCAAUUAUUAAAAAAAAAAUCAAAACUAAAAAUUAAAAUUGUAAACAAAAAUAAUUACCAAACCGGCCUAAGAAAUAAAUUUUGGUCAAAAGUUGAAGCUUUCUACUAAACAUUGCAUAAGAAAAUGAUUUCUCACCGUAUUUUGAGUUAGCACAUGAUGAACAUCUCCAUAACUCCACAACCUGCUUCGUCUCCCUGGCUCUUUGAUAGAUUCUUGGCGAACUAUUUCCCGACCCAUUUCCUGUAGUGAAUCAUGCAUCUCCAGUUCCCCCCUCCAUGAGACAGUUAUGAGAGCUCGAUCAAUUAGAACUCUUAUACCACUAUGAGGAUAGAAACCACAACCAUCCAUAAUUUCAAUUGCAUAGUUUUUUUGCAUUCCUUUAAAGAAACAUGCAAUAUCUAGAAAGAUGUCCUUCUCUGUGUCAUCUAGUCCAUCGUAGCUUGUUUUAAGCACAUCAUGAAUUUCCCUUUGUGGGAUUUUCCUUAUUUUUUCUAACACAUCUUUCCACUCGCGUAUAGUUUUGUUAUCAAGAAAAGCUCCCAAAACUUUGAGUGCUAAAGGCAGACCCUGAGCAUAUUGUAUGACACGCCUCGAAAGAUUAUCAUAAUCUUUGGUGGAUUGCUUUGUUCUGAAGGCGUACCGCCUAAAGAGUUCUAGAGCUCCAGCAUCAUUGAAAACCUUGGGGCUAUAUAUUGCAUUAGCUCCGCUUAGUAAUUGCACAUCUCUAGUUGUUAUAAUGAUUCUACUUCCCCCACCAAAAGAAUGUUCCUUUCCGAGUAAGGCUUCAAUUUGAGCUAAUUUGUCAACAUCAUCAACAACAAGAAGAAGUUUUUUGUGACCAAGGUUUUUUAACAUCACCUGGAAACCAUUUUUCGAUAUGUCGGAACUCCCCACCUUGUUGCCCGAGAUACUAGAUAGAAGUUGUGUCUGCAUAUGUAGUUCGCCAUGCUUCAUGAAACCCUCCUUGACAUUUUCAAGAAAACAACAUGCUUCAAAUUGACAAGCGGUUUUGUUGUAAACAGCUCUAGCGAUGGUUGUUUUGCCUAAACCACCCAUACCCCAUAUUCCUACAAUGCGAACAUCAUCCAACUCCACCCCAGGAGGAUCAGGAUGUAAUCGUAAAUGCAUUUCAUGAAUAUGAGAAUCCAUUUCAACCAAGUCAUUAUCUUUGCAUGGUGUUGAUGAGAUGUGCCUCAAUUUUCUCAAAACAUCUUCCACAAUUUCCUCAAUAAGCUUUGCAUCCUCCCUGUCAAAUUCAAAAAAUAAAUAAAUAAAUAAAUAAACAACCAAUAAAGAACAACACCAAAUAACAAGUUUUCAUCUGCUAGUUUCCAAAAAAAAAAAUGAAAAAUGCAAACUAAAAACUUAAAACAAUAACCCCUAAACCCUACAAAAAUCUCAAAAUUAAUAGGAAACUAAAACAAAUUAGAAUUUACUCAUAGUUUCGCGAAUCCCAGCCAGAUAAACUGGUGGCAAUUGUAAGAGCGGAUCUCCAGCUCUGAACCUCUUCCAUUUCAGCGUUAGAAUCGUGAUCGUGCUGAGCAAAAGCUUCCGCGAAUCUUCCCUUGAGUUUACGAACAUCAGACGGAUCAACUUCGUAGAAAAUGGGGAGUACAAUCUGGUUCUUGGUAUCCUUGCAUUCCAAGAUUUCCACGAGUUCUUUCAAGCACCAAGUGGAAGAAGCAUAGUUUUGAGAGAAAACAACAAUCGAAAGCCUUGACUCUCGAAUCGCUGUCAGGAGCUCGGAAAGGCGGUCGCCCUUUCUGAGCUCUUGGGCAUCGAUGAAGGUGUUGAUUGGUUUCUGACGCAGAGCUCUGUAAAGAUGGCUGACGAAGCCCUUGCGAGUGUCUUCCCCUCUGAAAUUGAUGAACACAUCGUGUUUCCAUUGACGGCCAAAAGAAGAAGAAGCAGCCAUUGAUCGGGCAGCUAAGAUGAAGAGGAAUUUAAGAACAGAAAGACUCGAUUGACCUGCAAAUUGGAGGAAAAGGGAAAGAGGAAAGGAAUGCUUUAUGUUUUUCGCAUCUUCGAAGAAACAACGGUGUCGGUCAAAAAGAGAUGCUCAAAUUUCAUUUUGUUAUAAUAAGACCCAGGCCCAUGAGUAUUCACUAUCCGAUGAUAAUUCUCCCGUCUUAUCUUAAUAAUUUGCACAAUACAUAUAAAUUGUUACGCAUAAUAUCUAUUUAUAACAUCAUUUGUACCAUUUUUUUAAUAGAAGUAGUAUCCGUCAAUGCACGUAGAUCUCAUUUGUAUUAAAAAGAUGAUACAAAUGAUGGUAUAAGAGUUCAUUUGGGUUGCUGUGCUGUAAAAAAACAUUGUUUUUAGAAGUAGAGGUAGAGCUGCUUCUGCUAUUCUGGAUCCAUAAAUUUAACAAAAAACACUUUUAAAAUAAUUUCAACAACGUCAAACCAGCCCUAAAUAGAUGGUAAUAGCAUUUUUGUUUAAGAUGACUCUUUCAUACGCAUUUCUUUUGUCUAAUUUUUAAAAAUUACCUAUCAUAUUGUAGUAAAUUUAAAAUUUGGUACCAAAUUAUAAUUUUAUUGCAGAGAUCGUUUUUCUGGUUGUUCAAAGUUCGAAUGGGGGUGGUGAUGGAGAAAGAAGUGGAGAUGGAGAUAGAGGUGGUUGCUCGGAUGGCAGGGGAAUAACAAGAUGAACACUUUUUUUUAUCAAUAAUUUAUUUUUUCCAAAGUAAUAAUUAAUUAAUUUUUUUCCACGUGGUGCAAAAGUGUCAGCCUCAUCAGUACAAAUAUGAACCCAUAUUUGCAAAUCAUUAUUUAACAGUCAAUUUAACAAAAUUUCUAACGGAUGUAUGAUAUUGAAAUGAAAUGAUAAGUAAUGUAUGACACUGAAAUGUUUUCAAGAUGUUGUAAGCGGUUGCAAUUAACCUUAACCUUGAUGAGGUAAAACGCAAUUUACUCUGGAUUUUAUGUACUAGAUACUGCUAUUCAUACAUUGAAAUCUUAGAUUAUACAACUUUACAAACAAAUGAUCACGCAAGUGACUAUGAACACAAAAGAAGGUAAGAAAACGUUACGGCAGGUCCGGGAAAACUUCCUCCAAGAAAUUGAUGAAACGCUUAGCGUACAGCUCCGGUUCGACAGCAGAAAUGCGUUGAGGCCCUUGAGGGUCAAUAUUCUUGAACGAUUUGUAAGCAUGCUCGAGUUUCUUUUUCGCAUUGUAUUCCUGCAGUAUGUCGAUUAUCCCCAUAUAAAGAACCACGUCAUAGAAUUCAAAGAGUUCUACUUCUGUUGAAUCGACCUCUUCCUGCGCAGGCUUACGUUUGGCCUGGGCCGGCAUGUUUACGCCUAAUUGCACCCUUAACCUGAGAAAGAUUCAGCUGACAGUAACUAUGUGCUGCUCGAACAAUGAAUGAAACACCGAAUCCAACAACAGUUUUCGAGCAAUGAAUUUCUAUGUUUUCAGCAAUCUAAUUACCGUUGCUUGACUGUGCUACUAAGUUACUCGCAUAAGCAUAACUAUCCAAAUCAGAUGAAAGUUGAUUAGAAGGUUAGGCCGCAUAUCAUGAAUCUUUUAGGGUGUCGUUUCACUCAUACCAAGGUAACAGAAGAUCCGAAUGCUUAUGGCAUCAAACUUCAAAAUAUAUCAGAGCGCAAAAGUGCGAAUAGUAAGUAUAAAAGUACAAACAAUAGAAGUACCUUCCUGUACCAGGGAGUAAGAGAUCGACUUCUUUGUCACCGAGAGAAUAAGCUUUCAACGGACUUCCUCUGAUGUGAGGACCUGGUGCAGUACUGACAGAGCCAGGUUCAUGGGUUACCAGUAGAAGACCUUUAGGAGGAAUCACAAGCUCCCCUUGCAAAGUCACACCUAUUCAAAUUGGAAUAUAAGUUCAAAUAUGAAAUACGUAAAUGCGAGGAGAUAAGGGAAUUCAGUUGGUAUUAAAAGCUUGGCUGGAGGGAAUUCCAUUCAAUGUCAUUUUCAUUAUGUUUCUUUCCCAUUUCUUCAUUCUUCCAAGUGCGUGCCAUUUCGAAAUUAUGAAAAUCAAGAUUCUAAAAUGCGAUAGGCGCUAGUUGGCCGCCUAGAUGUCAAUAACAUGGUAAGGAUAAAUGUUCCACCCCCUUAGUGGCGUGAGGAUGUUCCAAAUCCCAAAAUGUCGACCAAUACUAAAGUCUGUUUGCCCAAAUUUUAAAUUGUAAUAAGAACUAGGCCAGUUGCCGAGUUGUCAUUAAUUGCUCAGAUUUUCUUUUCCUACAGUCCUUUUUCUGCAUUUAUUCUGAGUGUAUGACUUUACUGUUUCCAGGGAAAGAAAUCAUUAAUUGGAAAACUAUUUGCAUCACCAAAUAGAAAAGAAAUCAGAACAUACGUAAAACAAAUACAAGUUCAUUUGAAAAGUAUUUGUAAUCAGAAAGAGAUGCUUACCAUCAUCAGCAGGUAAACUCUCAUGGUUGUGCAUUGUAGGAGGAGGUUGUGAAAAUCCCUUCAGAUCCUCGGGAGCUCUAAAAUGUAGACCCAACAGAAGGCUAUAAUCGAUAAUUUGCUGAGAUUGUAGAAACAUGCAGUCUAGUGAUAUUUGUCUGCAAAACAAAGAGGAGGAAAGAUUCCAAGAGAUUAUAAAAUGUAGAAGAGCUUACUCAGCCAAUUCUUAUUAACAUUCUCAUUUGGGGGACACAUGCAUAAUCGAUAAGCAGCAAAUCUAUGAAAUGUGAACACACAAUGUAUUAUUGAGUGUAGAUCUACAUAUAGCGUUAAGACUUCGUAAGAAUAUCAAGCUUGUUACCGGAAGAACAAAAUAUAGUACUGAAAAGUAGUGUUAUAAAUGAAAACAACAACAUAAAUUGCAGAAACGUAAGAGAAUUUUUAUAUCAAAUCCAUUUUGAUCGGAAUUCUAAAAUUGACUUAAAGCUUAUUGAACUGACUAAUAGCAUUUGGAACAUGUUUUACGUUUCCUGUCUUAACAUUGAAAGUAAAUAAACUAAUCAACCACAGGAGAUUUGAAGCAUUUUAACUUACAAAUCAACAAGGCAAAGAAUUGAUUUCCAGGGACUACACAAUUUCCAUGUACCAAGAUGCAUGAUACAAAUUUACCGGUGAGGUUGAAAUAUCCCUCCAACCGGCUUGGCUCUUCCUCAAGGCAAGCUUUACAGGUCAAAAUCCAAAGAUAGGAUGCAGAGGACUGGAAGAAGAAACUAAUGCAGGACAUAUAUCUAAGGGUUAGAUUCUAUUGCAAGUGGUUUUGGAGAAUUAGACCUCGGACCGAGUAUGUUAUAUUGCAUAAGUUUAUUAAUCUUAUGAUCAAUGAAGUUAUUCCAGAGAGAUUGUAACCGAAAAAAAAGUUAUUCCAGAAGGAUGCUUAAGCAAUGAAAAUCACUCACAGGUAAUCACUAAUACCUUUUCUAAAACGUAAUAAAUGAAAUUAAAAAAACCGCAACAAAUAAAAACUCACAAGGACUUACUUAAAAAGUCCUCCUCGCAACAGUUUGUCCAUAUGAAAUUCAAAUUUCAGAUCGAGAUCUUUCAAUGUGGUAUUCCCAUCAAUUUUAUCUUUGUCCGUACAUCUUCCAAUAGUUGAACCCUUCAAAUCAUAACGGCGAUGAAUUCGUAAUUCAGUGCAAAACAUAUUCCCCAUGACCAUAAACCGUACCUAAAAACAAUGCAUUUAGAAUAAGUCACACCAACCGAGGCGACAUCCAAUGAAGAACUGCAAUCUGGUAGAGUGAUAAGUUGCUCAAUACCUUUUUUCCACCCUUUAACGUUAUCCGAUGGAGCCCAAAAAUUUUUGUGAUGAGAGUGUUUUCAUGUUCGUCUACAUGGCUAUAAUAUCUAGGCAGCAUCUUCAGCAUAACCUGCAUAUGAAUUGGGAAAAAGAAAAUGAUUCAUAAUUCCUUUCAACAUCCUUCCCAAACUUGGAUGAGAUAAGUUAGUUGCCGAAGAUAAAGCUAAAAAUAAAAUUGAGAAAAGCAAAAUCUAAGUCCUCAUAUGGAGCUGAUUGAUCAUUCUGUUCGAGUACGAAGCAAAAGGAAUAUAAAGGGUAAUUAAACGGCUUGGCACGACAGGAAUUUUGAGUACAAAGAAGUUAUCGUGCGUGUGUAUGUAGCGUAGAAGUUUGCGUGAGUUCAAACCUUCAGUUCAGUUUUUCUUAAAGUCUUGAUGAAAAAUCUAUCAUCAUGAGAAAUAUAGAAAAUACUGCCACUUUUCCCCGGAGAAGAAAUCUCUCGUAAACCAUUGUCACCACAAAUGGACAUCAUGUACUCUGCUGCAUCUAAUUUAAACAUCUCCCUUAAAUUCCUGAAAUGCGAAAGUUUCAUCAGGCAGAAAGAGAUCCAAUUGCUUAUUUGCACAGAUACAGCGGAAACAUAAACUUGCAACGAUACAUUGUCCAUAUUGUUAAGACAUGUAUGACUCCAAUUAAACUUGAACUUAUUUGAAUACGACUCCAAUUAAAC